CGGGCUAGAAAUGUGCUACCAUUCAGUAUGUAAGGUGGUAUAAGGCGGGCUAGAAAUGUGCUAUCAUUCAGUAUGUAAGGUGGUAUAAGGCGGGCUAGAAAUGUGCUAUCAUUCAGUAUGUAUGGUGGUAUAAGGCGGGCUAGAAAUGUGCUAUCAUUCAGUAUGUAUGGUGGUAUAAGGCGGGCUAGAAAUGUGCUAUCAUUCAGUAUGUAUGGUGGUAUAAGGCGGGCUAGAAAUGUGCUAUCAUUCAGUAUGUAUGGUGGUAUAAGGCGGGCUAGAAAUGUGCUAUCAUUCAGUAUGUAUGGUGGUAUAAGGCGGGCUAGAAAUGUGCUAUCAUUCAGUAUGUAAGGUGGUAUAAGGCGGGCUAGAAAUGUGCUAUCAUUCAGUAUGUAAGGUGGUAUAAGGCGGGCUAGAAAUGUGCUAUCAUUCAGUAUGUAUGGUGGUAUAAGGCGGGCUAGAAAUGUGCUAUCAUUCAGUAUGUAAGGUGGUAUAAGGCGGGCUAGAAAUGUGCUACCAUUCAGUAUGUAUGGUGGUAUAAGGCGGGCUAGAAAUGUGCUACCAUUCAGUAUGUAUGGUGGUAUAAGGCGGGCUAGAAAUGUGCUACCAUUCAGUAUGUAUGGUGGUAUAAGGCGGGCUAGAAAUGUGCUAUCAUUCAGUAUGUAUGGUGGUAUAAGGCGGGCUAGAAAUGUGCUAUCAUUCAGUAUGUAUGGUGGUAUAAGGCGGGCUAGAAAUGUGCUACCAUUCAGUAUGUAUGGUGGUAUAAGGCGGGCUAGAAAUGUGCUAUCAUUCAGUAUGUAUGGUGGUAUAAGGCGGGCUAGAAAUGUGCUAUCAUUCAGUAUGUAUGGUGGUAUAAGGCGGGCUAGAAAUGUGCUAUCAUUCAGUAUGUAAGGUGGUAUGAGGCGGGCUAGAAAUGUGUGUAGCUGAUAGCCAAGGAAGCAUCAUUACUUCCUUCCUGAGACCUGAAGCACUGCUGUACCCAACCCAGAAAUGGCUCUUCUGGGUCAGUGGUAUUACUUAAAUCAAAUCACAACUUAUUUAAAUUAUAUUUAACAAAGUCGUAAUACACUUCCCAGAAACGAAAAGAAAUCUAAAUAAUAACAAUAUUUUAUCAAUUAAAGCAGAAGCCAACCGAGAAAUCAAGAAUAAAAUGAAUCUGUUUAUUGAGGGAUUGUCAGUUUAACAACAUAUAAAAAUACAUUUUCUUAAUUAAGUUUUUUUUUCAAGAUAUAACAGUCAAUUGUAGAGGUCUUCACUCUAUGAAAAUUCACUAUAUAUUUUUUUCUGAGAGUAAUACCAGCUCAGAUUUCAUCAUGUGAUACAUUCAUCUACAGUGUAGAUGAAUGUAUCUAUAGAGAAAUAAACACUUUUUUUUGUGUAUCGAAAAGACUUGGGUGGCCGCCUAAGUGUGUUUUCGGGCCGCCUAUGUCAAAAAAGUUAGAAGUACUUUUCAGGAUGGAAAAACGUUUUCAGUGUAAACUUUAACGACUUAAACCAGAUAUUAAGUAUGUAGAAAAGAUAAUGGACCGUUAUAUUUUUAUAACAAUCUUUGAGAACUAACAAUCACCAAAAUAAAAGCUAGACAGUCGGGGAGAAUCUAAAAUUCCAAAAAUGAUGCCUUGAAGAGUAUUUUUGACGACGCAUGGGGCCCCCAUUGAUUUUGUUGUGACGUUUGAUUCACUCCAUUUUAAAACGGCUACAUUUCACAGCCAACAACACGAGGGCCUCUAAAAUGUUGGUUGGUGACCGCACCAUUGGUCACACCCCCCACCGAACCCACCACCUAAGCCCCAUUUGGAUCCAGAAAAAAAACUUCAUUAAUUACUUUGCCAUCUGUAGUAUAGAAGUUAAACUUAACUACUGUGUCUUUACAAACCCAUCACAAGCAUAUUAUGGCUCAACUAUACUGAACAAAAUAUAAACGCAACAUGUAAAGUGUUUGUCCCGUGUUUCAUGACCUGAAAUAAUAGAGACCCCAAAAUGUUCCCAUACGCACAAAUAGCUUAUUAUCACAUUUUUUGCACAAAUGUAUUUAUAUCCCUGUUGGUGAACAUUUCUCCUUUGCCAAGAUAAUCCAUCAACCUGACAGGUGUGGCAGAUCAAGAAGCUGAUUAAACAGCAUGAUCAUUAGGCAUGUGUGUGUGUGUGUGUGUGCGCCUGUUGUCAGUGCUGUGUCGUCAACCCAUUUCUAGGGCCUCUCCGUCAGACCAAUCCAGAUGCAUUUGUUAAAUGUAGUGAGAACUACCUGUUCCUCUUGGCUGUUUACGAUCACCAGGUCUGCUUUUCUCGCCAGACAGUCACGUCAGCUCUCAUUCCAGGAUCUCUGUUCGGUCGUGAUGUGGUAACAGCGGCAGGCUUUUAUAAAUAUAUAACUGUCUCUCUCCCUCUGUAGGUUGGCUGUAUAAAUGUGAUGGAUAGAUGAUCCCAGCCAAUAGGAGAAGACCCAGCAGCCCCAGACACGCUGUAGCAACAACAAAGGGUCUCCUCCAUGAGCUCUCAGAACCUGAGAGUUCAGGUUGUGGUGUGCUCCCUGGGGUAGCAUCCUCAGUCUCUGUUCUCAAGUCAAGACACGUGUCUCGAGUUUCAUAAUUGCGCUGUCGAAAUACCUCUUCACAGGCGUCGGCUCCAUUACCAAACAGGUCUUCUGAGUGUUCAGGCUGUGGUGGGUUCCAUUGGGUCACUGCAUCCUCAGUUCGGAGGCAUGUCUGGAGUUUCAUAGUAGGGCUGUUCGUAGACAUCGUCGUAGAUGUCGGCCCCAUUCUCUUCAUUGGUAAAAGUGGCCCGGGACAUCUCCAUGGUCUACUGCUGUCUCUGUAUGUGAGCUGUCAAGUGAGUCCAGUCUGGGACUUGCUAUUUGUGACCAUGGAGAUGGAACU